rnacentral:lncRNA from 1 species
AGGUCACUCUUUCACUCUCUGUCCUUUAAUCCCUGUUUAAUCCCCACCACCCUCUUCACCGUUCACUCUCAGAUUAACCUCGCUUUGACUCUCAGCCAGGUGCUCUUCCUCACCCUAUGCUUCCUUUCCCAUAUCUUGCUCUUUCCGGUCUCUCACACUCUCUGUCUCUCCUCCAGCCUCCCUCUCCCUCUCUCUCUCUCUCUUUCUUUCUUUCUUUCUUUCUCUUUCUCCUACCCCUCUCUAUCUUUCAGGUUGGCCCCAUAGAUCAGACACUACAUAAAACAAACUCUCCCAGCCAGGCGGGGGGGAGCGCCAAGUGCAAGCAACCCUGCUUCGGCCAGAGGGAUGGUAUAUAGCCUAGCCUAGCCACGGCCGUGCUAACGGCCAUGAAGGUGAGUGGCUUUGUGGGCAGCCUGCCACUCAGGAGGCAUCCUGUCCCCAGAUGGUCCCUUGCGCCGGUCCCCCCUGGCCCCAUCUUUUGCCGAGCCAUCUGCAAGCAGAAGCUUAAGGCAGCAAUGAGAGACGGAACCCUUUAAACCUGGGACUGGAUGUGGUUGGGUGAAAACAGGUGUCUUCGUGUUCCGUCUGCCGUCGGAGAGGGGACGAUUUACGAGUCUGUUUAUGAAGACGCUGUCAGAGUUGGCACUGCGGUGCAGGGACGCACGCUGGAUAAGAUGACACUCCCGAAAUAUCUCUCCCCUGAACUGGCUCCAGAGAGUGACAUCCCUCCAUCCGCCGCCCCUCCCUUUACGUGUGGGCCAGGCAGAUCUGACGAGGGAGCGGGAACUGAGACGGACAAAUAAAUAAAAAAAGAGCUGUCCUUAGAAGCUCUGGCUCAUCCGUCUCCCUUCCAUCCCGUGUCUCGUCCUUCCCUCUCUCUCUCCCUCUCUCCCUCUCUCCCCCUCUCCCCUCUCCCUCUCUCUUGUCCACCUGUGUAGCAAUCCACCCACAUAAGAGAGUCUGAAUCCAACUACACUUGUACUUCAAAGACCAUGAAAUCUUUAUUAAAA